UGGUUUUGUUUUGUCCCUAUUGACUCUUCUGGAAAUCCUUCGUUGCUAUGGAGUCUGAUUGAAGUGACGAGUAUCGUUCGAGAUCCGCGGCUCCGGUUCGAUUGCAGCUGUUCGACAUUUUAUUACUGUUGCUUCUUCCGGCCAGAUCUGGUCGUCGAGUUUAUUGUAAAUGAGUUCUUAUCACUAAUAUAAUUGAGGUCAGAUUCUCACUCUUGUCUUUCUUCUCAAUUUCGUGCAGUAAAUUUGGAUGAAAUGGGUUUAUAUGGUGAUAUAACUGCUUAUGGUGUAUUUGUGAGUUGAUAUUCAAUUGUUUGAUCGUUUGAGUAACUCAUGGCCAUUUGAAGCUGUUAAAUGUUGUAUAGCUUAUUAAAAUUGUUGUUAGAUAUAUGUUUGUCAUUGCUUAAGAAAUUUUUAUUAUUGUGUUGUUAUUGUUAGUUGCCAUGGUUGUUAUUGUAAAGAUAGUAUUAUUAAGUUGAAGUGGGAAUUACGGAUCGCAUCAAAUUACUGGAGCCUAAGAGAAACGUGAGCUUUGGUUCCAUGCUAAGAUAUUACAAUUACUAUUCAAAUGAUAAAAGGAUCAAUGUAAGAUUUAGGAGCAGAUUGACAUGAGUUCUGUCUUGAAAGGUAGUUUGGACUUUCGUUCAACAUAAUUGUGUUUUGGGAAUAAAUUGGUACUGACAAGAGUGGUUGAAUUAAUUAUUGAAUUACUAGCAGCGGAAUGCGUUUCUAUGGAUUUCAAGACCACGAAAGUGUGCUAUUGCUUGUUUUCUGUAAUUGUUCUUCGUGAUUUUGGAUUUGCUAACUGGAUUAUUUGCGCGUGUUUAUUUGAAUUGGUUAUAGCUAAACAUGAUAUUGUUACAAUAUAGAUAUUGAGUUGCUAUUCAUCAACUGAACUACGUAAGGAACCGGGGGUGCAUUUUAUGUAACACGACUCUAUUUUUAAAUAAGGUUAAAUAAAGCAGGUCGUGAACCACGGGUACAUUUCAUGUGACGUGGCUUGCGAUAUGUUCUAUAUAACCUUGAAUUAAUUCAUUGAAUGAAUAAAAGCGGUUUAAUAGUUUAUGGCCCUCCAAAUGUAGUUUUAUUUUAAAUUAGAAUUAGAGUUGUGCCGUGCCGAACAAAAAUGACAAUUGCACGGCCCUUAUUUUUUUAAAUCUUGAAUGGAUCCUUAGAUUUCGAGGCAUGCCAUUUAGCAAAUUCCAUGGCCCUCAAUAAUUACGAAUGCAAAAUUACUUUAGGCGCGUUAGUUAAUGAUACUACUUUCUCAAACUCGGGUGUGCAUUUCAUGUGACCUGAAUCAAAUCCAAAAAUGUUAAAUAAAAUGUCUUUAGGGUUGCGGGUGCAUUUCACAUGACGCGAUCCAAAGACACAUUUUAAACGACGUUCAACUUUCUUUAAAAUAUUGAAUAAAAGCGGUAAAAAGUAUAAAAUUGGCACCUAAGUUCUUCAUGUCAUAAAAUCAGAUAAUAAGCUAGAUGCGACAGUUAAGCGACCCUGCUAAAACCACGGAACCCGGGAAUGACUAACACCUUCUUCCAGGUUAACAAAAUUUCUUAUCCGGAUUUCUAGUUCGCAGACUGUUAACAGAGUCAUCUUUUUCCUCGGUACGAAAUUCAACAAGUGACUUGGGACACCAUAUCUUCCAAGUGGCGACUCUGAACUUUAAUAAACAAAUUCCAUUUUGAUUGUCCUUUAAUUGGAAAAGCUCCUUUACGCCCUUGCGAGGUGUAAGUGAAAAAGGAGGUGUGACAGAACCAACUUCGGUCGGGGCAUACUCACUAAGAGGAACAACCGUUCUGGAACUAAAUACUCCGGGAACAGCAAGCUCGGGAAAUGUCCCCUCCUCGAAGACACGAGCUCGUUUAGCCCCACUAAAAGCUCCAUCGUGUCGCGAGUGUAAGUUCCGUUUACCGCCGUCGUCUCUUAAUUAAAAGGCCGAUGACCCUUCCCCUUCUCUAGGGGAUCGCAGUCUCACCCCAAGGGACCACCCGAUACCUACGAGGGCAAUUCUAGUUCAAAAGAAAGGGGAAACUAUCUUGUCAAAUAAGCGAAGAUCAGGUUAAAAGCAGCACACACGCAUACCUUGAUAUUUCACUUCCAAUCUUCCAUGGGACAUAACUCUCCACCUACGCUAAUCGUAGGUCGAAUGGGUUGCUAACCUUCGUACCCAGACAGGCAGAUCAAGAACUUUGCCUGGCGUCCAUGAAGUUGCUGCAGAGAAGGAGGAAACAUAAUUACUUAACUAGUUUUUUGCUAUUAGCAAAUAUAAGAAUGCACGAGACACUCCACUCACGCAUGUAAUUGGUAAGAGUGGUCGAUGCAGCUUUUACCUGAAAGGUCGGAAUGGAAUCUACAGAGAGCUAAUAUUGGUUUGGAAUUGAGUUUCUAUCUAAUCUAAUUAUGUGCGAUGUUCUUAAUUGCACUUCCCAUCAUGCUUUAUUUUGGUUAAUAUUCUAUUUUUAACAAUAAUGAAAAAUGAAAAAUAAGUUAAGUAUGAUAUUUUCAUAAGGUUUUCUCAAUUGGUAAAAAGACACUACGGAAGUGACUUACACCUAGGUGAAUACCUAACGAGGUCUAAACCGUAGAGCAAACUUCUUGUAAUUUGGAUCAUGAUAUAACCAUUGCCCAUAGUUACUCACUCAGACCUCUCGAUAGUUUGAGUGACUUUGCUCUAAUUGAGUUUCUCAAGCCCAAAUGGAUGUUUACAUAAUGCAAGCAAAAUUGGUUUGAGUACUACUAUAUUUAGGUUUAACCCUUUAAUUGGGGCUAUCAAUAUCUUAAAUGCACCCCAAUUCCUUAUUAGCAAGAAUUUCAUAGACUUAGUAUCUCGUUCUCAAGAAGAGCCUAGUCAAAAAGGCACAAAUCAGUGUUUAGGACCACCAAUUCAACAAUUAAAGCAUAAAUCAAGUUAAGUAUCAUUAACCCAUAAAUAUUUAAGCCCUAUAAUUGAAGACCUAUUAAAUACCCACUUUAGUGUUGGGGCAGAACCCAAGCUAAUGGGUUUAUCUACUUAUAAUUUAAGAAGAAAUCAAAGAUGGAGAUGAAAUAUAAUCCAUAAAAAGUAAUUACAAGAUUAAAAUCUAAGAUUAAUUGUUAAAGAUGUUUAAUCACUCAAAAAGGUAGAAAGUGGCUUUUCACGUGCUCUACAAAAAAAUAGUUACCCUAAAAAUCUGGAAAAGAAAGCGAUUUAUACAUAGCUAAAUUUUUCGAAGAAAAUUGCCCAUAAGGAAAUUCUGCUGACAGUGGAAAAUAGGUCACCUCUGUGCUAUGACUACCGUGACCAUGCAAAAGCAAGCGCGGACCGCGGUUCUUCUCUUCGGAGCUGGAUCUUAACUUGAGUCCUCCGGGAGCAGAAAAACACCCGCCUCAGUGUUCCUUCAACCUCGACCACGAAAUAUGCUCACGGAUCGUGCCUUUCAAUUUGAGCUCCCAACUAUAGUACUCUGAAUAUUAAUUUAGCUUAGGGCGAGAACGGAACCACGGUCGCAUUAGAUGAUACCGCUGCCGUGCAAUUUCAUCGCGGGUAGUGGUGACUGUUAAGCCCAAAAAACUGCUUCUCUGAACCUUGUUACUGCUAAGAGCGUAGUUAAGGCAGUUAGCGGUGGACACUCCACGUCCACAUCUACUUCUCUAGUGUUAGCGCCCUUUUUGAGCUUUGAACUUGUGCAGGUUUUACUCCAUUGUGAGCUGGUUUUGACUUUCUUCUCUCAUUUUAACCAAACACUAUAAACAAGCACAAUAAGUUAGCUUUCGAGAAUAUUUGUACAUUCUUUCAGUCCAAAACUUAAUCAAUAAGGAUCGUAUAAUAGGCUAGAAUCUCUUGUUAUCAACUCCCCCAAAACUUAAGCUUUUGCUUGUCCUCAAGCAAACAAAGUAAUUCCCACCUUCUCAAGAUAAAAGAAUGGAAAAUUUCAGUUAUCCUAAAGUAACUUUAUCAAGAAUCAAUUGAGACUAACAAUUAUCCUCGACUCAAAUGCAUUAUUAACAACACACAACCUUUUUAACACCUUGGCUUUAGUGCAACAGAAAAGCAUCAAUAGUUGACUCAACUCAUCAAGUAACUCUUCCUAAUACAUUGGUCAUUGUGGAACCCAAACUCAUACUAAUCGACUCUCCAUAUGGAAACCUCAAUUUUAGAUUGUAGCAAUCAGAACGAUAAUUGUGAAAACACACUCAUCUCUCUGAAGGUUACUAGUCUGGCUCUAAGUACCAUAAGUUUGCCCCUUAUAUGAUUCAGCACUAAUGUAAGCUCACCCAACUAAAGAUCAUAUAGGGAUUUUGCAGUAAUGUAACAAAGGCUUUUGGUUCAAGGUAGGAUAUAUCGAUCUAUGAAGGUUUAAAAUUUCCUUAAGCACUUCAUUUUCUUUAUUUUGGCUCACAUUUUCUUGACUGUUUGAGUCAUUUACUUCUUCCAUAUGGGCAAGAGAGACACACUGUCAUUCUUUCAUGUUUAUGUCAAUCGUUUUUCUCCUUUCUAGUUUUUCCAAGCCUUUCAUUUAUGCUUUUAUUGAAUCCCUUCAUUUAUUUUACAUUGUUCACUUUCUUUUUGGAUUUUUGGCUUUUUCUUUCUUUUGUUUUUUGCCUUCCCUUUUCUUACUUUGUGCCUUAUAUCACUUUUGCAUUCCUCGUCUUUUCCCCCAACUUAUACUUUUGCCAAUUUGUGCUAAGGAAAGAUCGGGUGUCAAUGGGAUCCAGAACGGAUAAAGGCUUGUAUCAUAGUUUUUAAAAGAAUAAGGGAUAUGGAUCAAUGGGGUUGACUAGGGAUAUCAUUUUUUUUGGCCUGUGGAUGUUUUUAAGUCUCAAUUUUGAUCAAGGAGAGCCUAUAAUCACUUCUCAAGUAAAGCUACACUUGGGAUUUUCCUAGACAAACAUUCAGGGAAAGUUCUAGAUUUAUUGGCACGAGACUUGGACUUUCAAAUAAAAACCUCACCACUCAAGCUAUAUGAUUGAUUAAGAGAUAGAGUCCACGCCCACAAAAACCUUGGAUAAGAUUUGAGCAACACAAAUGGUUCCAAAAAACCACUCAAUGAUUGUUUAGUGAACACAAGAGUCUCAAAGUCACAACUAUCACCAUCCUAUACACACCAAUUUGCUUUUAGCCAUAAGGUCAAAGGUAAAUGUGUUAGGCCAAAGUGAAGAUUUGCUUGAGGCAGUAUUGUGCACUGGAUACUACUUACAGAAAAAUGAAAAGAAAACAGACUCAAAUCCUUAAAAAGGUUGUCAUGCCAUCCAUCAACGGGAAGAUCCACCCGGUUUACACAAACCCUACCUUUUGAAAGAACCAUCGCAUUAAGAAAACCAAAGGCUUAUUGAUAGCAAAAACUUGUAAACAUAAGAACCUACGAACUGAAAAAGAAGAUAUGCUAUUUAGGAAAAUUGCAAAAGAAGAUAUGAAGUAAAAUAUGGAAAGUAAACUGAAUAUGUAUAAUAGGGGGUUGAGAAUAUAUACAUGGAAAAGUAACUUUAUAUACAUACCAAAAUUGAAAAGUAACGAAAAGUAAAAAAGUAAAAGGUAAUGUUAUAUACAUGCAAAAAUUGAAAAAUGACAAUAAAGAAAAAUCAGUGUCAUAAUUACAAACCAAAUGUCAAAUCAUCAAAAUAGAAUAGGACCACCCCAUCAAAUGAAAACUAAGCAUUGACCUCAAUGCUAAAUAGCAAAAAAAGCUCACAAAGGGGCUAAAAAGUAAUGAAAAUUCCCUAUGGGUCCUCUGUCUUCAUGGGGUCAUUUUGCUGGCCUGUGGCACCUCCCUCGGGGUCCUCCAGCUCGAUCUCUGAGUCAUCAUCCUGGUGAAUCAGUCUCCUCCUCCUAGGCUCUCCCUCAGCCUCCUGUUCCUGUACCUGCACGUCCUAAACUACUGGCAAUGGAUCUUCGAAUAAUAGCUCCAAUGGUACGUCGCCAGCUGACUUCAUCUUCUCCACCUCUCAUCUCGACAACUCCACUGACUCCUUUCAGGCCUAAGUCUUUUUCAUCUUCUUCGUCUUCUUGCUCAGCUCCUUAAUUGAUUUUCCUUGAACUGCAAAAGAAUCCAUGAUGAGUUUUUGGUUGUCCAGGAGCUUCUUCUGGUUGUCCAGAAGCUCCUUAAGAGAUUCCUCCAUUGAAGUUGGCACAUAGGGAUGUGCGGAAACUGUUUGGGAUGCCAAUGAUCUAGAUAGUACAUAUAGUUUUUAUGUUACUACAUGUAUCCACUUGUUGAUCUAGAGAGAGUCUAGUUCGCUUAUGAGCAAUGAAAGUAUAUGUUGACGAGGAGGGCACGGAGGAUGGAAUUAAAGUAGAUGGUCCAAGGGAAGGAUUUGGUAUGGCAGUGGGAGGCUCAGAAGCAUUAGCUAUCACUAUUGGCUCUUUAGACUGGCCAAUAGAAGUAGUCGGUUUUCCCUUGAAUUUCGGGUUGCCUGAACCUUAAAGGUUGUACCAUACGAAGGGCUUAUUGGGCUUCACCUUGGUAUCGAGAUCCAUUUUCUCAACCUCCUAAUCUUCCAAGUACAUGGUGAGGAAGUUCGGAAAUGGGUAAGAUCUCUCACCCUUGAUGACCACUUAGGUGAUCACCCCAAACAUUAUAUUCCCGACAUUGAUUGGGAACCCUGCCAUAGUAUCCGCCACUAUUAUCGCCCGGGAAACCGGCAUGUCAAUGUCACGAGUAGUGGGGUCUAAUGUGUUGUACACGAAGUUCAGGGUGUUCCUAUAGAUAGGGACCCUCACUGCCAACCAAGAUGGAGUAGUAUACGAGAGAGCUAGUGAUGCCAACCACGAGUAGGGUGCCUCAUCCAUGGCCACCUUCUCUAAGUACAACAAAUCAUCUUCAUUAUUGAAACCAAUAUAUUCAUUUACAUUCUUUCCCUCAAACAUGAUCUUCAGGUUCCGCAGCUUAGUCACAAAUGUGCCCUUUUUUAUGGGGGCGACAUUGGCAUAAAUUUGCUUGACUAGGUACUCAUUAGCAUCCGGCAGCCCGCUCGAGAUAUAUUUCUACCCCACUCUUUCAUCAAAGUUGCUCUUCUCAUUGGGGUUGUGGGGCAGAAGAUCCUGCUCUAUAAAAUGAUGCUCAUGUGUGAGUGACCUUUGAGGCCACCACUCCCUAAAUUUGUGAUAGGCCUGCUCAUUGACAAACCUCUGUUGCCAUACCUCCGGGUGUCUUGUCCUUUGCAAACCUCUGAUUUAGGUAUCUCGUCCUCUCCUGUUUCUAGGUGUCUUAGCAUCUACACCUAUAGGGUCCUUCUUAGGUGAAGAAGUUGUAGGACAAGAUGAUGCUAAGGACUCACUACUCUUCAUUGAGCCAUCAGACGACUCAGAAGAAACAUGAGUUGUAGGAGAGGCUUUGGGUGUAGGCACGUCUAUCAAUCUAAAUCUUCCUGGGAAUUCUGGUACAUAUAUAGGUACAGAGUCAACCCGUGAGGCCUCUUGGGAGGGAACAUAGUUGCUUCCCUCAGAGUUGGAUGCAACUUUGGUACUUUUUCGUAUUUUCCCAAUUGAUUGCCGGACUACUAGGGGUAACUUGAUUUGUCCUCGUCCCUUACAUUGGGAGAAAUCUGCUUUCCUCUUUUGUUUCUUACUUCCUCCUCUAAACUUAUCAAUUUUAUGCAUACAUAAUUAGUGGAAGAUUGUUCUUAAGGGUGCUAAAACAAGUAGUGAAUAACAACAAAGAAAAAUUGACAGUGUUUUACAAAAACAUUACAGAACUGAUGACAACGGAUAAACAAGUGUGGUCGCAUAAUGAGCACCGCUCAGAGCACAAAAAGGGGCGUGAGCGCGGAGGUAUGGGGAUCAGACUAUGCAUCCUAUAAUUCUAUAGUCCUACUGAUGGUAGAAGUUGCACUGCUGUCUGCGGAAAAACAAUCGUGGUCGAGGACCCAUUUUGUAUAAUUCCCUGAACAUGCGUAUCGCUGACCGCGAAAAAUGCGACGUGACCCCAUAAAGCGGGCCCCUGUCAGCGGAAUUUGCCACCGCUGACCGCGGUGUUCAAGACUUCCAAAAUCAAAUUUUCCUCAUGAAUGCUAACCGUGGAAAAACAUUUGCGAUUGCGGAAUUAAAAAUAAACCUAAGCAAUCUUAGUGUUUCAAUUUUUCAUGCAUUUAGCGGUUAUCAUCUACACUGUUAACCCCAAAGAGUGUUGAUUAAUCAAUCCUAAUUAUUUAACCAUAAGGAAUUACACUGGUGAACCCUAAUUGAACCCUUAAAGAAAAUAAGAUGAAAUAAAAACUAAAAAACAAAAGAAACACAUGUACAAAUUAAAGAACAAUUAGGAAUUGAGGUUACCAUAUGUGUAAUGAGUGAUGAGAAUAGACAUUAAUCUUAUUUCUAUGCGGAUUAAGGCUUCGGUGAACAAUAAAAAUUAAGCUUUGCGAGUUCAGAUGUUGAAAAGGGUAAAAGGUCUCUUGAACUUCUAUUUAUACUAAGUACCCCAGGACCCACCGAUCUCACCUGACACGGCUGCAGAAUAUCACCGCGGCCCAUGGUUUGGACUUAUUGAAGGGCAUCUUGCUUAACACUUCCAUUGAGAUCGGAAAAUGGGGAACUACUGCACAAAGCCACUGCUGACCGUGAAAAAUCCUCCCUGGAUGCAAACUGACAUCCAUUGAUCGUGAAAAAUAGGGUGUUGUCAACGGUCCAACUAUAGAAUUUGCCAAAUUUUUCUAGAUUUGUCCUGCAUUGCAUCAAACAUUCCUACAUACAUCUCAUACCCUGUUAGUACAAAACAAAUCCUACACUAAGAAGAAAACCAAAAAGAAGAAAAACAUAUAGGUUGCCUCCCCAAAAGCGACUGAUAUAAUGUCGCGGCAUGACGCAUGUUACUAUCAAUAAUUUGAGAAUGAUCAUUUCCACCACGUGGCUGUCAUCAAACUUGCAAAGAUAGUUCUUCACUCUGUGCCUAUUUACUAUGAAGAUUUCACCAUUUUUGUUUUUAAAAUCAAGAGAACCAAACGAAGUUACAUGCACCACCUCAAAAGGUCCACUCCAUUUUGACUUGAGCUUUCCUGGAAACAGUUGUAACUGGGAGUUGAAUAAGAGAACCAAGUCACCUUCCUUGAAUUCCUUGCUAUGGGCAUACUUGUAAUGUAAGCACUUCAUCUUGUCCUUAUACAAAGACGAGUUGGAAUAGGCAUGAAACCAAAACUCGUCAAGCUUAUUGAGUUGCUCUAUCCGGAGAUUUGCUGCAAUAUCCCAUUCAAGAUUUAACUUUUUCAAACCCACAUGGCCUUGUGCUCUAACUCAGCCGAAAGAUGACAAGAUUUCCCAAAUACCAAGCGGUACGGAGACAUACCAAUUGGAGUCUUGUAUGCAGUCGUGUAAGCCCACAAAGCAUCAUCCAGUUUCAUUGACUAGUCAGUCCUAUUUGCAUUGACAGACUAUGACAUUAUGCUCUUGAUCUCUCUGUUGGAGACCUCAACUUGCCCACUAUCCUGAGGAUGGUAAGGGGUUGAAACUUUGUGAUUGACACCAUACUUUGCAAGCAAAGUGUCAAAUGCAUUACUGCAGAAAAGAGAACCACCAUCACUAAUGAUUGCUCUAUGAGUGCCAAAUUGAGUAAAGAUAUUAUUCUUGAGAAAAGCCACCAUACUCCGGGACUCAUCGUCGGGUAAAGACACGGCCUCAGCCGACGUAGAAACAUAAUCAACGGCCAGCAGAAUGUACGUGUUGCCACAUGAAAUCACAAAAGGCCCCAUGAAGUUAAUGCCCCACAUAUCAAAUAUGUCAACCUCAAGAAUAGUGGUGAGAGGCAUUUCAUACUUCUUUGAAUUCCACCUGCUCUCUGACACUCAUCACAUAUAUUCACAAGCUCACCCGCAUCUCUACACAAUAUAGGCCAAUAAAAACCACAGCUAAACGAUCCUCGCUCCACCAUGAUGACCACCGUAAGGAGAGGAAUGACAAGCAUCUAGAAUACUUAUUUUCUCCUCUUCCAAAACACAUCUCUAAAUCACACCAUCAUUACAAAUUUUAAACAAAUAAGGACCAUCCUAGUAGUAGUCCAAGCUAUCCCAUUUAAGCUUCUUCCUUGUGUUAGAAGAGAGCUCAUACGGAAUAAUACCGGUCAUAAGAAAGUUGGCAAUAUUCGCAAACCAAUGUAUGUUAUUCACAGAUAUAGAGAAGAGUUGCUCAUAAUGGAAUGAAUCAUUAAUUUCGAGGUCAUCACGAGGGCUCCCCUCCUCCUCGAAGCGGGACAAGUGGUCCGCCUCUUGGUUUUCUCUCCCUUGUUGAUCAACAAUCUCAAGGUAAUGCUCUUGAAGCAAUAGAACCCAUCUUAUCUACCGAGCCUUAGAAUCCUUCUUUGUCAUCAAUUAGCGUAGUGCUAUAUGGUCAAUAUGAACUAUUACUUUGGCACCCAUGAGAUAAGGCCUAAAUUUCUCCACUCCAGACACAAUUGCUAGCAACUCUUUUUUUCGUCAUCGUGUAAUUUACCUGAGCAUCAUUUAUUAUUUUUCUUGCAUAAUAUACCGGGUGAAACAUUUUGUUUACUCUUUGCCCCAAAACCGAUCCUACCACAACAUCACUUGCAUCACAUAUGAGCUCAAAAGGUAAGCUCUAAUUGGGUGCUGUAAUAAUGGGAGUGGUUGUCAAUUUGUACUUGAGAAGUUCGAUAGCCUUCAUGCAUUCAUCAUUAAACACAAACUUUGCAUCCUUUUUCAACUUGAACUUGCUACAAUUGACCUUUUGCCAAGUGGUUCAUUGUAGCAUUUAACUUUCCUAUUGUCCUGACAUGGUUGUGGAGCUCUUUGUAUAGGUGAAUGACAAUAGGAUUACCCUGUGGCACAUUAGCUCAACAUUGCCAAGCUGAGGAAGUAUAUGACGUCUUAUCCAAGAUCUCACACGCCUCAGCAUAAGGUGUGUUCAUAAAUUUUUCCCUGCUAGCUGGUUCACUACACAAUAAUUGGUGUUAAUGCCACUAUGGAAUGUUUCCGGGAUUAUUGCUUUGGUCAUGUCAUUGUUCGGACAUUCUUUCACCAUUGUCCAAUACCUCUCUCAGAUCUCAUGAAGUGAUGCAUUAUGUUCCUUUUGGAAGGCCAAGAUCUCAUCUCUCAAUGUCGGCAUAUGCCUCGGCGAGAAAAACUUAGUUAUAUACUUGUCCGCCAACUGUAGACAUGUAAUUUUUUACCCGCAAAUUAGAAUUAUCUUUAAUAGUCCUACUAUUUUAGGAUAUUUAUUUGAGUAUAGUUCUAUAGGAUUUCACUUUAUUUUUAAUUUUAUAUUUUUAAAGCAUAAAAAUUUUAAAAAAUACAAAAAAUAAUUUCAUGUUUUAUCUUAUUUAUAUUUAGUUUAGGUUAUUAGUAUUUUUAUAGUGAUAUUAUUUUAAUUUUACCAUGACGUUAAUGUAUUUUUUUUAUUAUUCUUAUUUUAGUAUAAUCUUGUGAAAAUAUCAAAAAAUAGUCACAUUGUUUUAUAGUUAAUUCUAUUUUAAAAGUGUAUUUUAAUUAGGAGUAGUCUUACAGUUUUAUAAAUAUUUUAAAUGAGGAACAUUUAGGCUUUUAGCUAGUGAGAUCCAGAUUUUUUUAAGAAGCCCAAUUGUUAGUCAAUUCAAGAGAAUUUUGGCCCAAUUUUGGACAAAAAGAUGGCCCAAUUUCGGACGAGCCCCUAAGCCCAAUAGUCCAUUACUCGCCCAAAGACCCGCCUCCCAUCCGCUUGACCCGCCCAAUGCCCUUUAACUCUCAGCCUUCCAUUCCCACUAAAUCCUAGGGCCAAUAUUAAUCCUCCCAAACCAUAUAAAAACCCAAUAUUAAACUAAAACCUAACCCUAAUAAACCAAAGAGACCACCCAAACGGUGCCAUCCCCAUCUCCCACCUCUAACGCUGCUACAACCCACCGGAAAAUUCUCUCCCAUGCGCUCGUGGUCACCUACUCCUCUUCUCUUUCCUCCACGUGGCUUGACAAGUAACGACCCCGAAUAUUCUCUCAUUCUCACCUCUUUUCUCCCGUGUUUGAAGCCUCUAGAAGGCAUAUGCUGGAUGAAUGGGGAGUGUGGAAUCGAUUUCAAUUGAUCCCAGUCCUUCAUUCUUCAGCUCUUUGCCUGAUAUAUAGAGGAAUUUUUGAAGAAGAAAAAAGGAUUUCUUUAGACAGAUUUUCGGAGUUUUAUUGAAAAGUAGAAUAAAAAUUAGGAUUUUGAUUUUUGCUUUCUUCCUAUUUUUCAUUUGAGUUUCCAGAAAAAAUAUUAAUAAAAUAUUUAAUUCCUUUCUUCUUCUUAAUUUAAUUUCGAUACCAGAAAAUAUCAACAAAAAAGGUUUUCGUUUCUUCUUUUAAUUUCUGUUAAAAAAGGAGCUCUAUUGAGAAGUCUUUGAGUUAGUCGCUAAUCGAGGUGUCGAUCUCCGGCCGUUGUUGCCUUUUCAGUUUGAUUUCGGUUUUGUUGCCAGAUUUCUCAUUGUAUAUUAAUCGCAGAAUUUUUAUUGAAAGCUCAUUUUCAGGCUUCUUUCUGAUUCCCUUUCUCCCUAAUUUUAGUGUUGAUUGAAACAUGAUAAGUAUUGAAGCUUAAUUGGUUAUAAAUUGUCUGAUGCUUGGUUAACAUUAGAGGAAAUUAUUUCUUGAGACUAACAAACAGAACUCUAAUCGAUUUUGUGACUGUCGGUCGUAAUGUAAUUGCUUGCCCUUUUCAUGAAUAUUUCUGCAUGGUUUGGCUGAGUUUAUUUGUUAAAAUGAGUUUCUGAAGUUAUUCUCUAAUGUUCUCUGUCAGUUAUUGUCUUGUUAACUUUGCUUAGUUCCUAAAAACUGUACAAAUCCUUAUAUCUUAAUCGAGUCAAUACCAGUAUUGUGCUUAAUUCAUCAUUCUAUCAUCAUUUCUCUUAUGUCUCAGUUUGAUUUGAAUCAACAAAAUCUCCUGCCCUAUUUUUCCUCCAUGAUUGACUGAUAAUUGCAUAUGAUAACCUUCAUUUCAUGACUUAAAUCUGUCAUCGUCCUUAGUCAACAUUUUGAUUAAUUUUGUUCAGUGUAGUCAAAGGCGCGCUUAAGCCCUAAAGUGAUGCUCAAUAUAUGUCGCAUCAAGGCUCUAAGACAUACUUUUAGUUGCCAAUGAGUUUAAUUCUGAAAAGGCAACAUUAAAUAAUUGAUAUUUUAUUUUAUCGUAAUCUUUUUUUUUAAUUUCUUUGUCCAUAUAUUUAUUAUUCAUGCUUAUAAUUAUUGUUCUUAGACUACAUAUGCAUAUUUUUACUUUUUAUCUAGUUGUGCCAUUUUUCAUUACAGCCAUGCUUUAUUUACGCUUAAAGUCCCAAAGAAUCUUAGACUUUUUUUGCGCUUUGCUUCUUAGAUAACAUUGGUUUGGGUUUUCUUCUAUUUUUUUAGUUGGUGUCUAAGCUGUGAAUGUACAGAACAUCCGGCAUUUGAAUUCUUGUGUCAAAAGGCUUGUAGAAGAUAUGUAUUGGCGUUUCAGUUUCAUGCAGAAUGUUAGUCACUUAGAUAUGGAGUCCAUGUGUUCUAAUGACUAAGUUUCAAAUCCAGAAAUCAAUUAACAAUUCUUGUUUGAGUUCAGGGAUAAAAUAAAAGUUUGAUGAAGUGUAACCGCAAGUUUGCGACUUAACUCAAGUUAAUUUUGCCUUCAGCAUGCCAAUCCUUGUAGUUUCUCGGUCGUUAGUUAUUUUUAAAUAUUAAUUUGUCAUCAAAUUCUUCUGUUAAUUAUGUUUAGUAUGAAUUACAUUCACAUCGGUUCUCCUAAAGUUGUCUCGAACCAAUCUGCUGUCCGAAACAUGGAAUUUUCUUAUAUCUAGUAUAUCUGUCAGUUUAUUUCAUCCUGUAGUUUUGAAGUUAUCUCUGACUUACCUCUUCAUGCUUCCAUAUGUCUGUUAUGGUUCUCAAUUUGUUAACUCUUUGUUAUGCCUCCUCUGUUGCUUUAGAGCUAAUGCAUGAUAAAUUAGAAUCUAUUUGAAGUCUAAAAUUCUUUAUAAAAGCUUCGAGAUACCUGCAGCUCGUUAACACUAUUAAGAACACUAUGGCUCCGGCAUGUUUACGUAUUCAUGUAUUGCUUUGUAAAGUGUUCUUUCCCUAUUGCAGCUCCAUUUGACCAGAAUUUAUGUGGAAAUUGGUUAUUGUUUUCCCUUCUUUUCCUUAUGUGUAACUUGGUUAUUAGGAAAGGGGAUUCCAGAUCUUAAGCGGCUCUUCCCACAUUUUAAUUCACUUUUUUUUGUGUUGUCUCAUUUAAUAAUUGUUCCUUCUGCCAUUUUCCUUAUUUUCUUAUCUUGUGUACUGCGGAUGCUUUGUUUAGUUUAUUGCUUAGUCAAUUUUCCAUGCUUUGUUUGAGUUGGAUAUUUGACUUGCCUGAGCAUAGUCAUAUGAUUGUUAAACACGACAGGUACAUGGGAAGGGGGAAGAUGGAGUCCAUAGUAAUUUCAUCUUGUUUUAGGAUUGGACUCGGUCUAAAUGUAUGAAAAUGAUAAGUUAAAAGCACAUGACCCCGAGUUGAAGUUCUUUUUAGUUUUUUCUCUUAUUUGUAGUCUAAAGUAUUGUAAAAGAAAAAUCAUUUUUAAAAAUUGAUCUGGCACACUGAAACCAAUGUCAGGUGGCGACUCUGAGUCAUUUUUUUUUCAAAACAAUUUUGUCACUUUUUAAAUAAAAAUCCUUUUGAGCUUUACAAAUCCUUUUAUUAUUUUUAAUAUGGCUAAGUGAGUUGAAGAAAAAAAGGGUUUGAUAGCUCUGGUGACUUUGCUGGGGAAUUGCAGGUUCGAGCUGAUAAUGUGAUCUUGUUGGCUUUUUGAAUAUUCGGUUGAGGUUUUUAUAUUUUUUUAUUUUCUUUAUUUGAUUUUUAUUUUUUAUUUGUGUUUUUUUGGUUAUUUUCUAGUUGUUAUGGGUUUACCGGUUUUUUGCUUACGUGUUACUACUUUAUAACUAUCAUUAUUUAUAUAACUUCGAGUCAAUUUGUCACGACCCCAACUCAGUCGUGAUGGUGCCCAACACACUGCUAGGCAUGCCUGACCAAUUUUACCAACCUUAACCUUUUUAUACAGUUCAUGAUUUAAUUAACACAAAUAAUUACUAAGUCAUAUUGGUGAAACGCUGAAAUAUGGUUACAACAUGUGGAAAACCAAAAUAGAAAUACUACUACUACUACUACACAGCCCGAAGAAUCCGGUGUCACAAGUCCGAACCUCUAAUAUACGGGUGUAAACCUACUAUAUAUUGAUCUAAAGAAAUGCAUAAUAAAACAAAUAGGAUAGAUAGGAAGAUCAGGACUGCAGAUGUCAUGCAGCUACCUUGAUGCUCCCAGAUAUGAUGCUCGGCAGAGAAAUUCUCCCUCAUCCUCAGUGGGUGCACCUAGAUCUGCACACAAGAUGCAGGGAGUAAUGUAAGUAAUUGCAACCCAUAGAGUAAUUAACAUAAAUAAAGGCUGAGAAUAAGAAAUCCUGGAUAGGCACAAUGUAAGCUAUAAUUAUAGCAGUUGAAUCCAGAUAAUAUCAACUCAAUAAACCAAUGAAAAUAAUAAUGCUGCAACAGAUAAGUAAAUGAAUGACAAUCAAUUAAGAAAUGCAACAAAUAGUACGGUACUCUUUAGUACCCGAUGCGGUGCGCAGCGUGCUCCAUUUCUUUAUUAUCGACGGUGCUCACUGAGGGUGUACAGACUCCGGGAGGGGCCCCUUAUGGCCCAAUCACAAUAUCAAGCCACCUCGUGGCAUAUAAAAUAAGGUCUGAAAGCCUUCUUACAUCGCUCAUAAGGCUUGAAAACCUCCUCACAUCACUCACAAGGCCUGAAAGACUCCUCACAUUACUCAUAAAGCCUGAAAGCCUCCUCACAUCACUCACAAGGCAUGGAAGCCUUCUCACAUCACUUAUAAGGCCUGAAAUCCUCCUAUCAAUAUUAAUAUAAUAUUGAUGCGGCGCGCAACCCGAUCCUAUACUCGGUCCAGAAUCAUAUAAGCCUAUCGGACACAAUAAUAUUUAAAUAUUCAGUCCAAGCUUCAUUAGAAAUAUUAUUUAAGUUCCAAGUUUGAGAAAAAUAUGGCUCAGUUUGCAAAACAAUAUUAAAUACUAGGACUGAGUUCACUGAUAUGUACAAAUGGUAAUAAACCAAUAAGGGCAAUCCCUGAAGGAUUCAAUCAGUUGGCACUAGGCCCAAUUAUGAUAAUUUAAUCCACUUUUAUAAGGAUAUUAACUAAGCUUCAUUCAAUUAGGUAGUAUUUUUAUUACGCAGGACGGACCAAGUUGUAAUUCCCGAUAGUGCUCUACCCCAUGCUUGUUAUCCGGCGUAACCUCAACAUAGCACUAUGAUGUGCAAAUUCAGGAUUUCAAACUCUCAACAGAGCACUUACAUCUAUUACUAACCUCAAGUCGACCAAAAUCCUAGUUUGCUACGCCCUUCCUCUCAAAUCGACCUCCUCGUGCAUCGAAUCUGACCAAAACCAAAAUGAAUACGACAACAGUAUUACAUACUAAGACUGAGUUCAAUGAUAUGUACAAAUGGCAAGGAAUUAACAAGAGCAAUCCAUGAAGGAUUAAAUCAGCUGGCACGAGGCCCAAUUAUGAUAAUUUAAUCCACUUUUAUAAUGAUAUUGACUAAGCUUCAUUCAAUUAGGUAGUAUUUUUAUUAAGUGAGACGAACCAAAUCACAAUCCCCAACGGUGCUAUACCCCACGCCCAUUAUUCGGCGUGCAAGUCACCUCAACAUAGCACUAUGAUAUGCAAAUUCGGGGUUCCAAACCCUCAACACAACAUUUACAUCUAUUACUAACCUCAAGAUGGCCAAAAUCCUAGCUCGUCAUUAACCUGAAAAUAUGGGCAACCCUGGUAAAAUAGCCCUAAAAUCCUCAUACGAUGUCCAAAUUUACAUCGGAUUCAAGCCUAAGUUCUUCUAAAACUUCCGAAACAUGCAUUUGAUAAAAAAUCCAACCAAAUCACCUCCGAAAAGCCUGAAAUUUUGCACACGCAUCUUAAAAUCACCUAACAAAGCUACAACAACUCUUUUGACUUCUAUUUCGACCGUCGGAUCAAAAUCUCACCUAUCAACCGGAAUUCGCCAAAAUACUAACUUCGCCAUUCAAGCCUAAUUCUACAAUGGACCUCCAAAAUCACUUCUGAUCACUCUCCUAAGUCACAAAUCAUCCUCCAAAGCUAACCAAAUUGUCAGAAUUCACAUCGGAUCCCUCUAACUUAUAGGUCAAUAUCCGAUUGACUUUUUCAAAACAAGUAUUCCUUCAAGAGCUAGGUGUCUUAUCUCCUUCCAAAAAUCAACCCAAUUCAACUCGUUCAACUAAGACAUUAAUAAUGAAGCGUAAUAAAGCAGGAAAUGGGGAAAACAAAGCGGUUCUCAUGAGAAGACGGGUUGAGCCAUCACACAAUUGUUUCUGCAAUAAGUCUUGGAGUAUGUUUUGCGUACUCAAACUCUUCAAUGAGUCAUCCUUAUUUUAGGAGGGGGACUGUUGGGCGUAUGGAGUGGGUGGAAAGCUUGAGCAGCUACUAUCGAGCAUACACUCCCCCGAAUUGCCUUGUAUAAUGAACCCCAAACUUAGGUCAAGCUUUUGGUCAUGAUCGGUUCGAGGCAUCGUGUCUGUUUAUAGAAGACCUAAGUUUAUAGAAGGCCUAUCAAAAUUAUGUCCAAACAGACCCAUGGCUCCAAAAAAUAUUUAAUCAUCCAUAUGUGCUACAUGAUGCAUUCUUUAAGCAUGGCAGAUCAAUGAUGGUUGAGGGUAAAUGAAAAGGAAAGAGGGUAAGUAGAAAGAUGAAGCAAGUAGGGCCUAGUAAUAUUUUUCUACUACAACUUUCUCAAGAAAUGACAAAAAAAAUGAAAAUCAAAAAUCAAAAAAGAUUUUGCACUUUCCAUAAUUUUUCAAAAAUAAAAAAAGAGAGAAAAAGAAAAUACAAAAAAGAUUUUACAUUUUCCAUCAUAUUUCAGAAAAGACAAAAAUAUGUUUUCUCCAAAUCAGUCAUUUUUCCCUUCUAAUUUUCUUAUGUAUACAAUCUUUCUGAACUAUGAAACCUCUCAUCUUUUUAGACGGGAUAUUUAGGCAGCCCAGAUAGGGUUCGGUCUUCCUAGUAAUUCUUAGGAAUUUGGCUUCGCGAGAUCUUAGCCAAAUCUUGCAUGUCUGGACACAUCAGCUUUUUUUGCAAAAUAGGGCUAUUUUUUAAAGUGGUUUUAUCCCAUGUCAUAGAGACCUAAGUCCACAACAAAGUGUCCUCUUAGUUUUAAGGUCCAUUCAUGUUGAAUUUGCAUGUCCAGCCACGUUUGGUCACAUCGUCCAUUCUUUCAAAAUGGGAUCGUUUUCGCAAAAGUGCUUCAAUUACCCAUGUUUUAGGAUAUUGAGUCCACUAAUAGGUGUCAUAUUGAUUUAUGGUCUGUCCUUGAGUUUUUAUCUUUAUCCACUUCUAGCCAUAUCUGUUGCUUUUGCAAAUGGGUCAUUUCUGCAAAUUAAUUUUAGGCCAUGAUUAUUGAUAAAUUUUGAAUCCAUAUAAGACUUAGUGAGGCAUUUUCCAUGUCUUAGAGUUCAAUUUUGUUGAGUUUACACUUCUAGCCAUCCUUGCCCUUAUAGGUCAUUUUGCAAUAAUAUCCCAAUCAUGCCUUGCAUGUGUCCAAUAGGAGGUAUCAUUGUGUCUUCAGUCACUAACUCUAUUUGGUCUUAUUUGCUCAUUUAGGUAUGGAUCCAUUUACCAGAGCUCGAGCAUGACUGAUACCUUAGGA
rnacentral:lncRNA from 1 species